GUAUUAAUAAAGAUUCUUAUUUUCAUGAUUUUUAUAAUAAAAGUUCAUUUCUAAGUUUUAUAACUUUACAGAUAUCUGAUUUCACAUGGAAAAAUAUAGUUUCGUAACUUUUAAUCUUCAUAGCAUUGUUUGGUAAAAUUACGUUACAUAAAGAAUUUACAAGUCAAUUAACAAAUACUUUUUCACAAAAGAUAGCAAAUAAAGGAUUACAUAAUUUAGUACAAUUUCCUUCUCAAUAAUUUAGUUAAUCCGUCCCUUAGUGACAUAUGUGAGUCACAUGAUUCACAGCGUUACCUUAAGUAACCUCGAGGUACCCCACAGGAUUAUUAAUUGUUUUUCCUUUGUUAAUCAUAAGAAAUUCCCCUAAUUAACCUCGCCUGGAAACCAAGCUUGAUACCUGGACAAGCGUUUCUGGUCACUUGCAUUCGUGACCAGCAAACAAUAAACAUCUAUUUUUAUACAAGC
rnacentral:lncRNA from 1 species